rnacentral:rRNA from 1 species
CAGUCGCCGCGGGAAUACGGAGGGGGCUAGCGUUGUUCGGAAUUACUGGGCGUAAAGCGCACGUAGGCGGCUUUGUAAGUUAGAGGUGAAAGCCCGGAGCUCAACUCCGGAAUUGCCUUUAAGACUGCAGAGCUAGCAGGUGAGAGAGGUGAGUGGAAUUCCGGGUGUAGAGGUGAAAUUCGUAGAUAUUCGGAAGAACACCAGUGGCGAAGGCGGCUCACUGGCUCAUACUGGACGCUGAGGUGCGAAAGCGUGGGGAGCAAACAGGAUUAGAUACCCGCGUAGUCCCUGUCUCUUAUAC